GAGAGCCUUAGCCCGAACCUCUGAAUCAGGAAUUUCAACUUAUUUUUUACGACGCUUCUCCUCAAUAUUUAGAGACACUAAAAGCUCAUCAAAAGUAUAGACAUCGUAUUUUUGUUUUAGCUCUCUAGAAAAUUGAGACCACAAGGGAGGCAAUUUUUUAAUGAGGCAAGCAACAAGAAAAGUAUUAGUUAAAUCCAUGCCUUUCCUCCUAAGGUCAUAGAUUAAAUUUUGAAAUUCAUGGGCCUGCUCCAUCACUGACAAUGCACUCAAGAUCCUACCAUGACACAAAUAAUCUUUCUCAUCAAAACCAUCAUCAUCGGUAGGUUGACUCCUUGCCAGUUUUGACAAAUUUUAUAGCUUGAGAAACUCCACUUUUUUCAGAAAAUUUUUCUUUUCCUUUUGAAACCAAACCCUUGUGGAUCACAGAAUAUAGACCCAAAGUGGUAAGCCAAAAUUUCAUUUGUCUUUACCAACAUCUGAAAUUUUGACGAUUGAACUUCUCGGACUUGCUAGAACUCGACUCGUCAAAUGCCAUUUGUUUUUUCAAAACAGAGCCACUCAAUAGUGAAGCACGUAUAACUCUAACAGAAAAUCCUAACAACUAUCCUACCUUAGAUUGUUGGGAAAAUUAUAUGAUUAGGAUAUUUCUGCUAGAUAAAUUAAAUGCCUAAACAAGAAUAAUAAUAAACCAAGUAACGCAAAUAAAUAUUAUUAGAGAAAAGACAAGAAUAGCUUGUGGGGUGGUUGAGGCACGAGAUGGCGCCCUCCUAAGGAAGGAUACACCCCCUUUCUGCAUGGAGUUGGACGGCGUUCUUUUCCCAAGAUACAACGAUUUUCAAGUUCUCUUCGGUGCAGCGAAUCAAACUCACGAAACGUAUAAUUUUCCGACACUCGAAAUCCAAAUAAAAUGUUGUACCAAAUAUCUGGGAUAAAUGAUGGACGAAUAUAUAUAUGAUCGAAGAGGAAGUAGUAGUAUGGAAAGGUAGGAAGAGCACUGUGAAAUGUAGUAGAGCAAGAGAGAGAGAUUUAUAGCACUAUUAUGCGUUUCUUUUCCAAAGAGCAAAAGUCUCUGAGGAUUGGUUGU